rnacentral:rRNA from 1 species
AUGAGGAGGUACAGCCCCCCACACCGUAGUCCCCCGAGGAGGGGAUAUGGCGGCAGCCCCGCUCAUCGUAGUCCCCCAAGGAGGGGAUAUGGUGGCAGCCCCCCGCACCGCAGCCCCCCAAGGAGGGGAUAUGGUGGCAGAGGAAGAAGUCCCCCUAGGAGGGGUGGAUAUGGAGGACGGAAGGAGCAGGGUUCUGGAAGUCUCUUGGUUCGCAACAUCCCAUUAAGCGCCAGAGCGGAGGAUCUCCGUGUUCCUUUUGAAAGGUUUGGUCCUGUCAGGGAUGUUUACCUUCCGAAGGAUUAUUAUAGCGGGGAGCCACGAGGGUUUGCGUUUGUGGAGUUUGUUGACCCUUAUGACGCCUCUGAGGCCCAAUACCACAUGAAUCGCCAGGUUUUUUUUGGCCGGGAGAUAACUGUUGUGCUUGCUGCUGAGUCACGGAAAAGGCCAGAGGAUAUGCGCACUAGAACCAGAGUCAGGGGGUAUUCUGGAGGUCAUGAAGGGCGCCGUUCCUCUCAUUAUGGGAGGUCUCGUUCCCGUUCACGCUCCGCCUCUCCCCGCCCCCGUGGCGGUGGCCGUGCUCGGUCAAGGUCAUACUCUCCUGCUCCAAGACGGCGAGAUGACUACUCUGCUUCCCCACGGGGAAGGGAGUCUCAUCGCACUAAAUCUCCUGUGCGUCAUCCAAAAGAACAUGAAGAGGACAAAAGGAGAUCCUACUCUCCCCCUGGUAGAGAUGGUGACCAACGUGAUGCUGAUAACGGGUAUGAGAAGAGGUCGCCACCGGCCGACAGUGAUGGAUCCCCUUCACGCCCGAGGGUGGCCAGGCCAUCCUCAGGAUCGCCCCCCGGAUCCCGCUCCAGGUCCCCCGACGCUUCUCCCGCCCGCAGCGACUGA